AAACCUCGAACCAAAGUCCUUCGAUCCGUCGGAGCUUUGUUUUCGGACCAUGGGAGCAUGCGGGCGGCGACGUCGGCUCUCCUCAAAAGCAUUAGCUGUGGGCGGCGAGCCUUGCGUGACACACGGCCUUGUUCGACGUCGUAAUGAUCGUCGUGGGCUGGAGGCGCGUGGAUUGACCGGUCUCAUGCUUCGCAACCCUCUGCGGGACGACCGCACGUAACCAAG
rnacentral:misc_RNA from 1 species